rnacentral:misc_RNA from 1 species
GAUGAAGAACGUAGCGAAAUGCGAUAAGUAGUGUGAAUUGCAGAAUUCAGUGAAUCAUCGAAUCUUUGAACGCACAUUGCGCCCCUUGGUAUUCCAUGGGGCAUGCCUGUUCGAGCGUCAUUUGUACCCUCAAGCUCUGCUUGGUGUUGGGUGUUUGUUCCGCUGUACGCGUGAACUCACCUCAAAUCAAUUGGCAGCCGGCAAUCUGGUGUUUGAGCGCAGCACAAUUUGCGCUCUUCGCUGUAUUGCGGCGUCCAUAAAGUCUACAUUUAUGCGCUUGACCUCGGAUUAGGUAGGGAUACCCGCUGAACUUAAGCAUAUCAAUAAGCGGAGGA